rnacentral:lncRNA from 1 species
AUGGUACAUGCUGAUGCCUUUUCUCAUCCUUUGAGUCACAAUGAAGUUGUUGGUUUAAUUUUCCAUUUGACAAUAUUUGGUUCAGUAACAUACUUUAGUAUCAAAUGGAUGGUAGAUGCAAUUGAUCCAAUCAGAAAGCAAAAAGCAGAAGCUCAGAAACAGGCAGAAAAACUAAUGAAGCUAAUUGGUGUGAAAAACGUGAAGCUCUCAGAAUAUGAAAUGAGUGUUGCUAGUAGACCCUCUUAAUAUGCAUGUUACUUGGAAGUGAUAUAGCAGGUUUAGAUGAGGUCAUUACGGAUCUGAAAGACAGUCAUCUUACCUAUCAAAAAGAAACAUUUGUUUGAGAAUUCCAGGCUUCUGCAGCCUCCAAAAGGUGUUCUUCUCUAUGAGCCUCCCCAGGCUGUGGUAAAACGUUGAUUGCCAAGGCCACAGCCAAAGAAGCAGGCUGUCGAUUUAUUAACCUUGAGCCUUCGACACUGACCAAUAAGUGGUAUGGAGAAUCUCAAACACUGGCUGCUGCUGUCUUCUCCCUUGCCAUAAAGCUACAACUGUCCAUCAUCAUUAUAGACGAAAUAGACUCCUUUGUACGAAACCGUUCAGAGUUCUGACCAUGAAGCUACAGCCAUAAUGAAAGCUCAGUUUAUGAGUCUCUGGGAUGGACUGGACACUGAUCACCGCUGCCAGGUCAUAGUAAUGGGAGCUACCAUUCAUCCUCAGGACAUUGACACGGCUAUAACGAGAAGAAUUCCUACAAGAUUUCACAUCAACCAGCCUGCUUUAAAACAGAAAGAAGCAAUCCUGAAACUCAUCUUGAAAAAUGAAAAUGUGGAUAGGCAUGUAGACCUGCUAGAAGUUGCCCAGGAAACUGAUGCGUUUUCAGGAAGGGACCUAAAUGCGAUGUGUUGAGAUGCUGCCCUCCUCUGUGUUAGAGAAUGUUAAUUCUACAUCAGAAGAAAGCCAUGAUGAAGAUGAAAUUCGGCCUGUUCAACAGCAGGACCUGCAUCGGGCAAUUGAAAAGAUUAAGAAAUCGAAGGAUGCAGCAUUGAAAAAAUUAAGAAAUCAAAGGAUGCAGCAUUUCAGAAUGUUUUAACACAGGUUUGUUUAG